rnacentral:rRNA from 1 species
CCCUUAGACGUCCUGGGCCGCACGCGCGCUACACUGAUGCAUUCAACGAGUUUUACCUUGGCCGAGAGGCCUGGGCAAUCUUUUAAACCUGCAUCGUGAUAGGGAUAGAUUAUUGCAAUUAUUAAUCUUGAACGAGGAAUUCCUAGUAAACGCAGAUCAUCAAUCUGCAUUGAUUACGUCCCUGCCCUUUGUACACACCGCCCGUCGCACCUACCGAUUGAAUGGUCCGGUGAAGCCUCGGGAUUGUGGCCAGUUCACUUUAUUGGGAGUUGGCUGCGAGAACUUGUCUAAACCUUAUCAUUUAGAGGAAGGUGAAGUCGUAACA